rnacentral:misc_RNA from 1 species
UCUCCGUAGGUGAACCUGCGGAGGGAUCAUUACUGAGCGCGGGUCCUUCGGGGCCCAACCUCCAACCCCAUGUGAUUACCUACCUCGUUGCCUCGGGGGCGACCCGGCCUUCGGGCGUCGGGGCCCCCGGUGGACCCUCAACACUGCAUCUAUGUCGUCCGAGUAUAAAUCAAUCAAUUAAAACUUUCAACAACGGAUCUCUUGGUUCUGGCAUCGAUGAAGAACGCAGC